rnacentral:rRNA from 1 species
UGGGGAAUUUUGGACAAUGGGCGAAAGCCUGAUCCAGCAAUGCCGCGUGUGUGAAGAAGGCCUUCGGGUUGUAAAGCACUUUUGUCCGGAAAGAAAUCCUUGGCUCUAAUACAGUCGGGGGAUGACGGUACCGGAAGAAUAAGCACCGGCUAACUACGUGCCAGCAGCCGCGGUAAUACGUAGGGUGCAAGCGUUAAUCGGAAUUACUGGGCGUAAAGCGUGCGCAGGCGGUUUGCUAAGACCGAUGUGAAAUCCCCGGGCUCAACCUGGGAACUGCAUUGGUGACUGGCAGGCUAGAGUAUGGCAGAGGGGGGUUAGAAUUCCACGUGUAGCAGUGAAAUGCGUAGAGAUGUGGAGGAAUACCGAUGGCGAAGGCAGCCCCCUGGCCAAGUACUGACGCUCAUGCACGAAAGCGUGGGGAGC